rnacentral:rRNA from 1 species
UACGAAGGUCCCAAGCGUUAUCCGGAUUUAUUGGGUUUAAAGGGUGCGUAGGCGGACUAUUAAGUCAGUGGUGAAAGCCCCAAGCCUAACUUGGGAACUGCCAUUGAUACUGAUGGUCUUGAGUACAUUUGAGGUGGGCGGAAUGUGUCAUGUAGCGGUGAAAUGCUUAGAUAUGACACAGAACACCGAUUGCGAAGGCAGCUCACUAAACUGUAAACUGACGCUGGAGGCACGAAAGCGUGGGGAGCAAACAGG